UUGUCAUAUGGCAAAUUACAGAAAAUGCUGCGUUUGUUGAUCCGAGUAGAAAUCUCUAGAUGCUAAUAAGGGACAAGCAUAGUGAUUUCUGACAUGUCUUCAGCAGCCUGCAGGCCAUUAAGCAACCACAGACCCACCGGCCAACAUUUCAGCACCUCUGUCACGCAACGGCAAACCUGCAGCAGCAGGACAUGACUGCAGUCAAGCAUUCCUGGACCAUUCCGUAAGCACGCUGUGCUCAUCUGGAGAAUGAUGCAUCAUGCAGCAGUUCAAAGAAGAGCGUAGUUGCAUUUUUACUAUUUAAUAAGUGCUUAGACAUGCAGACUGUUAGCCUGAAUGCUCCUGGGGCUUUUCAGACUUGCAUACAUAUAAACGAGAGUGUAUUUCUAGAGCAAGCCAAGUCUCACCAGUAGACCCAUAAAAUUGGUGGUUUGUCACUGCAUAUUUAGCAGCCUAUAAAAUGGGAUUAUGAAGCUUGUCUGAGUAAUUAUCACAAGUCUGCUAUUCACUUACCUUACAUGAAUCUUCAUCCGACAUCUUGAAAUGGUCACGUGUUAGUUACCCAUGUCAUGUGUUCAUUUAUAACUGCAUGUAUUAUUAAAAACUAAUUAAUCAGA